rnacentral:misc_RNA from 1 species
GUAGGUGAACCUGCGGAAGGAUCAUUAAUGAUUGAACGUCUGUCGAGCUUGCUCACAGGCACAUCAUAUCCAUAACACCUGUGCACUUGUCGGAUGGCUUAGUGAAGACCGCAAGGUUGGAUCUAUCCAUCUACUUUACAUAACAAUUCUGUAACAAAUGUAGUCUUAUUAUAACAUAAUAAAACUUUCAACAACGGAUCUCUUGGCUCUC